rnacentral:rRNA from 1 species
UGCCAGCAGCCGCGGUAAUACGGAGGCGGUGACCGUUGUUCGGAAUUACUGGGCGUAAAGCGCACGUAGGCGGAUUAGUCAGUCAGGGGUGAAAUCCCGAGGCUCAACCUCGGAACUGCCUUUGAUACUGCUAGUCUAGAGUUCGAGAGAGGUGAGUGGAAUUCCGAGUGUAGAGGUGAAAUUCGUAGGUAUUUGGAGGAACACCAGUGGCGAAGGCGGCUCACUGGCUCGAUACUGACGCUGAGGUGCGAAAGUGUGGGGAGCAAACAGGAUUAGAUA